GAUGAACGCUGGCGGCGUGCUUAACACAUGCAAGUCGAACGAAGCAUGUAAGUGGAUCUCUUCGGGGUGAAGCUUACAUGACUUAGUGGCGGACGGGUGAGUAACGCGUGGGUAACCUGCCUCAUACAGGGGGAUAACAGUUGGAAACGACUGCUAAGACCGCAUAACCCGCUAGUGUCGCAUGACACGGACGGAAAAUAUUUAUAGGUAUGAGAUGGGCCCGCGUCUGAUUAGCUAGUUGGUGGGGUAAUGGCCUACCAAGGCAACGAUCAGUAGCCGACUUGAGAGAGUGAUCGGCAACAUUGGGACUGAGACACGGCCCAAACUCCUACGGGAGGCAGCAGUGGGGAAUAUUGCACAAUGGGCGAAAGCCUGAUGCAGCGACGCCGCGUGAGUGAAGAAGUAUUUCGGUAUGUAAAGCUCUAUCAGCAGGGAAGAUAAUGACAGUACCUGACUAAGAAGCCCCGGCUAACUACGUGCCAGCAGCCGCCGUAAGAC
rnacentral:rRNA from 1 species